rnacentral:rRNA from 1 species
AUACGAAAGGUGCAAGCGUUGUUCGGAUUUACUGGGCGUAAAGAGAUCGUAGGUGGUUUGUUAAGUUGGAUGUGAAAUCCCGGGGCUCAACCUCGGAACUGCAUCCAAAACUGGCAGACUUGAGUUCGGGAGGGGUAAGCGGAAUUCCGUGUGUAGCAGUGAAAUGCGUAGAUAUACGGAGGAACACCUGAGGCGAAGGCGGCUUACUGGACCGAUACUGACACUGAGACUCGAAAGCGUGGGUAGCAAACAGGAUUAGAAACCCGUGUAGUCC